AGAACGAACGCUGGCGGCAUGCCUAAUACAUGCAAGUCGAACGAACUCUUCGGAGUUAGUGGCGCACGGGUGCGUAACGCGUGGGAAUCUGCCCCUUGGUUCGGAAUAACAGUUGGAAACGACUGCUAAUACCGGAUGAUGACGAAAGUCCAAAGAUUUAUCGCCAAGGGAUGAGCCCGCGUAGGAUUAGCUAGUUGGNGAGGUAAAGGCUCACCAAGGCAACGAUCCUUAGCUGGUCUGAGAGGAUGAUCAGCCACACGUGGGACUG
rnacentral:rRNA from 1 species